rnacentral:rRNA from 1 species
AUUGAACGCUGGCGGCAGGCUUAACACAUGCAAGUCGAGCGGGGGAAGGUAGCUUGCUACCGGACCUAGCGGCGGACGGGUGAGUAAUGCUUCGGAAUCUGCCUAUUAGUGGGGGACAACAUCUCGAAAGGGAUGCUAAUACCGCAUACGUCCUACGGGAGAAAGCAGGGGAUCUUCGGACCUUGCGCUAAUAGAUGAGCCUAAGUCAGAUUAGCUAGUUGGUGGGGUAAAGGCCUACCAAGGCGACGAUCUGUAGCGGGUCUGAGAGGAUGACCCGCCAAGCUGGGACCGAGACACAGGCUAGACUCCUACGGGAGGCAGCAGUGGGGAAUAUUAGACAAUGGGGGGAACCCUGAUCAAGCCAUGCCGCGUGUGUGAAGAAGGCCUUAUGGUUGUAAAGCACUUUAAGCGAGGAGGAGGCUACUUUAGUUAAUACCUAGAGAUAGUGGACGUUACUCGCAGAAUAAGCACCGGCUAACUCUGUGCCAGCCGCCGCAGUAA